rnacentral:rRNA from 1 species
UACGGAGGGUGCAAGCGUUAUCCGGAUUCACUGGGUUUAAAGGGAGCGCAGGCGGAUUGGUAAGUCAGUGGUGAAAGCCUCGAGCUUAACUCGGGAACUGCCAUUGAUACUAUUAAUCUUGAAUGUCGUUGAGGUAUGCGGAAUGGGUCAUGUAGCGGUGAAAUGCAUAGAUAUGACCCGGAACACCAAUUGCGAAGGCAGCAUGCUAAACGAAUAUUGACGCUGAGGCUCGAAAGCGUGGGGAUCAAACAGGAUUAGAUACCCUGGUAGUCCACGCCCUAAACGAUGAUUACUCGACAUACGCGAUACACUGUGUGUGUCUGAGCGAAAGCAUUAAGUAAUCCACCUGGGAAGUACGACCGCAAGGUUGAA